GCGCCUGUAAAGAACAAGUUCACAGACGUGUGAGAUCGGGGUUAUUCCAGGUUGUCAGCCAUUGUCUUGCUUGCAGGGUAAUUAUCCAGCACAGCAGUUUUUCAAGUGCGAGGUGCAUCUCAGAUGACUUUGAACUGAAGGGGAGGUCUUAUCAUGUGGCUUUAGGCAGUGCAGAAGUAUUUAAAGCAGACAAUAUACAAGAGAAUUAGUCCUACUGGUUCCAGAUGUAAAGAUUAUAGAGCUUACAUCUUUCUGCACUCUUCAAAGAAAAAAAAAGAAGACAAAAUAUUAUCAAGGACAAGUCUUUGUAAAAAGCCCUAUGACCCAGCUGAAGUCAAGACUCAACCAUCACUACAUCUACAACAUGGAAAGUGACACGCAUUCACAAGAAAAAGGUUUAGAAGAAUCUGAAGAGCAGACUCAAUAGGCCGGAUCUCACCACUGUCCACCAAGUCAUCAUUUGCAGUUGGACUCAAGGCCAUUCCCACUGUCAAACAGUUUGUCUUUUCUUUCCCCACGGCCCUUUGAGCAACACAAUGAGCUGAAGCUCACGUCCAGCAGCACAAAGAUUCACAUGUGAAUGAAGCGUCAUGUUGUGCUGCUCUUCACUUGGCCCACGUCGUCCUGCUUUGCCAAAGGUAGGGCUGAACGAUAUAUCGUUAUCAUUUCGAUAUCGGGAUAUGAACAUUCAGGACAUCAGUUUCUCAAAAUCAACGAUAUCAAGAUUUCCCCUGCUUGCCCUGCAUGUAAGCUUGCCCAUGCACAGGGACGUAACAGAAGAUCUCAGAGAAAGGAGAUCCCAGAGGCGAUUCGUCUUAACAGCACAGAAGGCAGGAGAUAGAUGAAAGAGUCAGAGGAGGCUGCAGCAAGGUCAUUCAAUUUCAUCUUCAGCUUCCUGCAUUCUCAAAGUGCCUCAGAGGAAUCUCCUGGGAAGGUUUUAAUCUCGAGCUACUACGAAGUCUUAAUUAAAAACUGUGAAGUCAAAGAGCUUGCUAGUUGUCCAGCUUAACCACAGUAACUUUCAAUGUGGAGGAGAAAAGUAAAUCAUGGACAGAUACAUCUUCAUUCUUCUUGAAAUGACAGCUAUCAUGUAAACCUCAGUGAAAGAACAACAGGAAGUGGUUUGGAACCUGCUGCAGAGCAGUGAGUUCUACUGUCUCGCAGUAGGAGCUGAGGUCUAAACACUUUCAGACCAAAGAUUUGUUCUACAGUUUUCUACCAAAUAAAAUUUGUCUGGAGCCGCAAAACAUGCAAUGCAAAUCCAGGCUAUUUUAGCCAUUUGAUUUGAUUCGUUUUCUUUUUUAAAUCUCUUUUCUAUUUUUCCCUUUUCUUCUUCUUU